GGCGUAGCAAUACUCUCAUGUGGUCUACAUAUUUACGGUCCUUUGAAGGGAGUCUCUGUAACAAGCAAGAUGUCCGACAAAUACGAUCAUCAAAAGGAUGAAGAAAUCAGGGAUGGGGACUCAAGGGAUGAAGAGUGGGGAACUGGUGGAAGCAGUGGUGGUGGGAACAAUGAUAAUAAGGAUUAUGAUGGCCCAGCCGGUAUGGAUGUUGAUGGAAUCAUCGAG